rnacentral:rRNA from 1 species
AGUGGAUGGGGAGCAACCUAGUUGUGCGUGUGUAAAGGUAGUGCCAAGAAAAGCGAUGAUCAUGUUGAAAAUCAAUUCCCGGUACCCGAAACCGACACAGGUGGGCAAGUAGAGAAUACUAAGGGGCGCGAGGUAACUCUCUCCAAGGAACUCGGCAAAAUGACCCCGUAACUUAGGGAGAAGGGGUGCCACCGAGAGGUGGUCGCAGUGAAGAGGCCCAGGCGACUGUUUAGCAAAAACAUAGGUCUCUGCAAACUCGAAAGAGGAGGUAUAGGGGCUGACGCCUGCCCAGUGCCGGAAGGUUAAAGAAGUUGGUCAGUCUUAGGAUGAAGCUAGCGACUGAAGCCCCGGUGAACGGCGGCCGUAACUAUAACGGUCCUAAGGUAGCGAAAUUCCUUGUCGGGUAAGUUCCGACCCGCACGAAAGGCGUAACGAUCUGGGCGCUGUCUCGGAGAGAGGCUCGGCGAAAUAGGAUUGUCUGUGAAGAUACGGACUACCUGCAUUUGGACAGAAAGACCCUAUGAAGCUUUACUAUAGCUUGGAAUUGUGUUCGGGCUUCCUGUGCGCAGGAUAGGUGGGAGGCGUAGAAGGUAUUCUUGUGGGGAUACUGGAGCCAACGGUGAGAUACCACUCUCAGGAGGCUAGAAUUCUAACUUAAUUAAGGACAGUUUCAGGUGGGUAGUUUGACUGGGCGGUCGCCUCCAAAAAGGUAACGGAGGCGUACAAAGGUUCCCUCAGACUGGUUGGAAAUCAGUCGAAGAGUGCAAAGGCAGAAGGGAGCUUGACUGCGAGAAGUACAGUUCGAGCAGGGUGGAAACACGGUCUUAGUGAUCCGACGGUGCUGUGUGGAAGGGCCGUCGCUCAACGGAUAAGAGUUACUCUAGGGAUAACAGGCUGAUCUCCCCCAAGAGUUCACAUCGACGGGGAGGUUUGGCACCUCGAUGUCGGCUCAUCGCAACCUGGGGCGGAAGUACGUCCCAAGGGUUGGGCUGUUCGCCCAUUAAAGCGGUACGUGGGCUGGGUUCAGAACGUCGUGAGACAGUUCGGUCCAUAUCCGAUGUAGGCGUGAGAAUAUUGAGAGGAGCCUUCCUUAGUACGAGAGGACCGGGAAGGACGCACCGCUGGUGUACCUGUUAUGAUGCCGAUUGUAAACGCAGGGUAGCCAAGUGCGGAGAGGAUAACCGCUGAAAGCAUCUAAGUGGGAAGCCCACCUCAAGAUGAGUAUUCUGGUGUAAGGUCACGGGAAGACGACCCGUAAAUAGGCACGAGGUGGAAGUGCAGAGAUGUAUGAAGCCGAAGUGUACUAAUAGACCGUCGGCUUGAUC